GUUACCUCAUUUUGUCCACUUCUAUUGUGUGGGCUGAAGGUUGACUUUAGCUGGGAGACAAAAGUGGGGAUCAGAAAUAAGGUGACUAAUUGAGGAUCUCAAUUACAAAGCGACACAUAAGAACAUUAGAGGCCUUUGAGAGGAAGGAUACUCAAGAAGGGAGUUUGCAUUCUCCUGGAGGAACAAAGCACCUGUCAGAGAUAACACAGAAGACAAAGAAGUCCUGGGAAGGAAAUAUGCUGAUGUCAUAAAGCUAUUGAAGCAAUGACCUCAAGGCAAAGAUAGCCAGUGGACAGCUGCCUCUCUGCUGCAGCAGAGUAGGUAGCUCCAGCUAUGACGCCUAUGCCGCUAUGAAGCUCAGCCGGUCAGAGCUCUGAUUGGCGGAGAGAUUUGUGACCCCCCCCCCCCCAAGACCAGAGAAUAAGAGACCGGGACUCUGGGGACAAGGCGACUACAGCCGUGUGUGCUCUUCUCCAGUGGACACUUGGGCUCUCGCUGUGCCAACACUCGGGU